GAUGAACGCUGGCGGCGUGCCUAAUACAUGCAAGUCGAGCGAACGGACGAGAAGCUUGCUUCUCUGAUGUUAGCGGCGGACGGGUGAGUAACACGUGGAUUACCUACCUAUAAGACUGGGAUAACUUCGGGAAACCGGAGCUAAUACCGGACGAUAUUUUGAACCGCAUGGUUCAAAAGUGAAAGACGGUCUUGCUGUCACUUAUAGAUGGAUCCGCGCUGCAUUAGCUAGUUGGUAAGGUAACGGCUUACCAAGGCAACGAUGCAUAGCCGACCUGAGAGGGUGAUCGGCCACACUGGAACUGAGACACGGUCCAGACUCCUACGGGAGGCAGCAGUAGGGAAUCUUCCGCAAUGGGCGAAAGCCUGACGGAGCAACGCCGCGUGAGUGAUGAAGGUCUUCGGAUCGUAAAACUCUGUUAUUAGGGAAGAACAUAUGUGUAAGUAACUGUGCACAUCUUGACGGUACCUAAUCAGAAAGCCACGGCUAACUACGUG
rnacentral:rRNA from 1 species